GUUGGUAAUGGGGCAGGGGUCAGUUUGCUAACCAGAACCACUGCUCUAGCCAGUUGGGCCAAUAGAAGCUGAAUUAUAACUACACUAGUAAAAAUCAUCACAUCUUUUAAACAAUUCUCUGUAAACUCACUGCAGCAUAUCAGCAUGUUAUCUAAUGUAAUCUUCAUAGCAAUCCUAAGUUGGUUUUAUCUAUAUUCUAACAUUGUGAAAAUCAAGACUCAAAGAUGUUAAAGAAACCUACCCCAAACUACCUACCAAAAAAGGGGGCCCAGCAGAAAUCUGAGUGGUGUAUGGGUUUAUUUUGGAGUUUCUUAGAGAUGUUGUUAGGUCAGUUGAAUGUGAUGGUGGGGAGAACUCUUGGCAUGAGCAUGAAAAUCUGUGUAUGACCUUGUUUUCAGGUCACUGACCUGGUUAAUUCCUUUGAUAGCUUGUAUUCAUCCCUGUGAGUAGCUCACAUAGUGUCACCAAUGUGUAUCACCUGAAGCUUGUUAUCCAAGAAGGCUAUGGUGGGGCCUGAUGCUGGCCGUUAAGCCUAGAGAGACUUCAUGUGCAUAUUCCUUUUAAUAUAUUGCUACUAAGACAGGAUAUCAGGUGAUUGGCUAAUCAGACUGUUCCCAUGAGCCAAAAAUAUGGGCAUAUUCCUUAACCAGGAUAGCAGAGCAUGUGGGAACCCACACUCAUGGGCCAGUGGAUAGAAAGCUCUUCUAUUCUGCUCUUUACUUCUUACCACACUCAUUAAAGAAGGAUUUGUAACUGUGCUUUGGAAGUAUUGUCCUCAGUUCUCACCUGACUUGCUCUGUAUUUUGCUGAGCAGUUGGAGAGAUUUUGAGCUGGGUAGCCAUAGACUUUCUAAUGGGCUAGCAUUGAGGUAAGACCCUGAGUUACCUACAUUUGAAUUUAGGUAAAUUAAGACUUCAGAAUUAGUAUUUUGUUGGAGGGGGCAGGGGUGUGAACAGGAAUACUCAUUCUUUAAUACCCCUCAGAUGAUCUUUAUGAACACUGGAAAGAGGGAAAAACUUUUCCCAGAGGGUUCCUUUGAAGGCUUCGGAGUCUGAACCUCCUGGGAUUACCUGCACAUCAUGAGCACAUGAGCAUUUUUUUAAAGUUGAAGUUCACUGCUUUCAAUCACUUCUUGAAGGAGUAUGUGAAUGCAGCAGGGUGAAAUCCUCCCAGCAAGUGGUGGAGAGACACUGCUGAAGAAGAAGAGACUGACCUUUCCGGAGAAAGGGCCCUUCCUCUGGAAAUAGUCACUUUGCGUUGUAUUUCCCAUAAUGGGAAUGAGUUUCAGGGAACCAUACUUCCUGGUUAACCA
rnacentral:lncRNA from 1 species